rnacentral:rRNA from 1 species
GACGAACGCUGGCGGCGUGCUUAACACAUGCAAGUCGAACGGAAAGGCCCUGCUUUUGUGGGGUGCUCGAGUGGCGAACGGGUGAAUAACACGUGAGUAACCUGCCCUUGACUUUGGGAUAACUUCAGGAAACUGGGGCUAAUACCGGAUAGGAGCUCCUGCUGCAUGGUGGGGGUUGGAAAGUUUCGGCGGUUGGGGAUGGACUCGCGGCUUAUCAGCUUGUUGGUGGGGUAGUGGCUUACCAAGGCUUUGACGGGUAGCCGGCCUGAGAGGGUGACCGGCCACAUUAGGACUGAGAUACGGCCCAGACUCCUACGGGAGGCAGCAGUGGGGAAUAUUGCACAAUGGGCGGAAGCCUGAUGCAGCAACGCCGCGUGCGGGAUGACGGCCUUCGGGUUGUAAACCGCUUUCGCCUGUGACGAAGCGUGAGUGACGGUAAUGGGUAAAGAAGCACCGGCUAACUACGUG